GUUUUUCUAGGUAUGCAAUGUGGCUUCAUUACAUAACCUGGCAUUAUGUUGUCCAAAAAGAAGCCUAGUACUCCUGCUGUGCUCGUGCUCAUGAGAACAGUGACUAUCUAACUGAAGAUAUGCAAUCGCCUGUAAAUAUCAAGAUGGGCUUUCAUCCAUUGUGAAGGGGAAGGAAAGUGAACUAUCAUGGGGGGUGAUCUUCAUACCAAGGAUGCUGUGUGUGUCCUCUCAGUGAUCCUAGGUCAAUACUGAGGGGAUCUAAUAAAGGGCUGUAAUGGUUGCAGAAAAACGAGCCAUUUGCUGCAAUUACGUGCAGGAAUAGUGGAUACUUGGGAUAUCAAAACACAGCUGCUGAUGUAUCUGUAAGAUGUGGCCUAGCACUUACCACAUUCAUAUCACAUUGAUCCUUACUUUACUAAUGGCAUUAACGGAC